rnacentral:rRNA from 1 species
GGGGGGGGGGGGGGGGGGGGGUGGGGGGGGGGGGGCGGGGGAGGGGGGGGGGGGGUUGCUGGUGGGAAGUUAGCGGCGGAGGGGUGCGUGACACGUGGGGGACCUCGCUGGAGGACUGGGAUAACUUCGGGAAACCGGAGCUACGACCGGAUCAGCUAUGGAACCGCACGGUUGCAGAGUUCAAGAAGGUUUUGCUCGAGCUACUAGCGGGGUCCGCGCCGGCUGAGCUAGUUGGUCAGGUAACGGCUUACAAAGGCAACGAUGCGUAGUACACCUGGGAGGGUACUCGGCCACACUGGAGCGGCGACACGGUCCAGACUCCUACGGGAGGAAGCAGUAGGGAAUCUUCCGCAAUGGGCGAAAGCCUGACGGAGCAACGCCGCGUGAGUGAUGAAGGUCUUCGGAUCGUAAAACUCUGUUAUUAGGGAAGAACAAAUGUGUAAGUAACUAUGCACGUCUUGACGGUACCUAAUCAGAAAGCCACGGCUAACUACGUG